rnacentral:tRNA from 1 species
GCCUAGUUAGCUUAGUUGGUAGUGCGUCUGCCUUGUAAGCGCUAGGCCGUGGGUUCGAUUCCCACCCGAGGCG